rnacentral:rRNA from 1 species
AACGAACGCUGGCGGCGUGGAUAAGACAUGCAAGUCGAACGGGAACUUCAGCUGUAGCAAUACAGUUGAAGUUUUAGUGGCGAACGGGUGCGUAACACGUGGGCAAUCUGCCGAGAAGUGGGGGAUAGCUCGCCGAAAGGCGAAUUAAUACCGCAUAUGAUCAGCUAAGACAUCUUAGCGACAUCAAAGCCGGGGCAACCUGGCGCUUUUUGAGGAGCCCGCGGCCUAUCAGCUAGUUGGUGAGGUAACGGCUCACCAAGGCUAUGACGGGUAGCUGGUCUGAGAGGACGACCAGUCACACUGGAACUGAGACACGGUCCAGACACCUACGGGUGCAGCAGUCGAGAAUUUUUCUCAAU